rnacentral:rRNA from 1 species
CACGUAGGGGACGAGCGUUGUCCGGAUUCAUUGGGCGUAAAGCGCGCGUAGGCGGCUCGGAAAGUCGGUCGUGAAAUGCCGGGGCUCAACCCCGGGACUGCGUCCGAUACUCCCGAGCUGGAGGCAGGUAGGGGAGAUCGGAAUUCCUGGUGUAGCGGUGAAAUGCGUAGAUAUCAAGAGGAACACCAGUGGCGAAGGCGAGUCCCUGGACAACACCUGACACUGAGGCACGAAAGCUAGGGGAGCAAACAGG